GACGAACGCUGGCGGCGUGCCUAAUACAUGCAAGUCGAGCGAAGUUUUUCUGGUGCUUGCACCGGAAAAACUUAGCGGCGAACGGGUGAGUAACACGUAAAGAACCUGCCUCAUAGACUGGGACAACUAUUGGAAACGAUAGCUAAUACCGGAUAACAGCAUUAACUGCAUGGUUGAUGUUUAAAAGUUGGUUUUGCUAACACUAUGAGAUGGCUUUGCGGUGCAUUAGCUAGUUGGUGGGGUAAAGGCCUACCAAGGCGACGAUGCAUAGCCGACCUGAGAGGGUGAUCGGCCACACUGGGACUGAGACACGGCCCAGACUCCUACGGGAGGCAGCAGUAGGGAAUCUUCCGCAAUGGGCGAAAGCCCGACGGAGCAACGCCGCGUGAGUGAAGAAGGAUUUCGGUUCGUAAAGCUCUGUUGUUAGGGAAGAAUGAUUGUGUAGUAACUAUACACAGUAGAGACGGUACCUAACCAGAAAGCCACGGCUAACUACGUG
rnacentral:rRNA from 1 species